UACGUAGGGGGCGAGCGUUGUCCGGAGUUACUGGGCGUAAAGCGCACGCAGGCGGUUUUUUACGUCUGGAGUGACAGUUCCCGGCUCAACUGGGAAAGGUCUUCGGAAACGGCGAGACUUGAGGGCUUCAGAGGGACACGGAAUUCCGGGUGGAGUGGUGAAAUGCGUAGAGAUCCGGAGGAACACCAAUGGCGAAGGCAGUGUCCUGGGAAGCAUCUGACGCUCAGGUGCGAAAGCUAGGGGAGCGAACAGG
rnacentral:rRNA from 1 species